CCUGUUGGGGGAAAGUUAAUAAAUUGUUAGAGAAGCGAUUAAAGAUGAAGAUAAGUGUUGAGCUGGAGUUUGUAGCGUCUGUUGUUGUAGCUGCUGCCGUUGGACACUGUGGGUUAGCAUUGGGGCUAACUAGCUAGCUAGCCUCCCAGCUAGCCUCUGUGUCCAGGUGAGCAGGAGGAAACCUGGCAGCUCAUCGUGGACCCAGUGCUGCCUGCCGAACCGGGACGGGCCCCUGGACUGACCUUGACCCUGCUGAUGUAUGGAGAUGAAAGUUUCAGUCUCUGCUGCUCUUCCACAUCUGUAGCAGUCAGGCACGAGUUCUGUAGGAGCGUUGGGAUUUAACACCUAAUCCACCCUAAUCCCAACACAGGAGCCCCCUCACGGCUGCUGGCUCUUCAGCUGCAGACCAGUUCACCCAUGAGCACUCCUCAUCCAGUCGCUAUGCGUUGAACAAAACAGACCACAUAUCCCUUAUCCACUGAAUGUAGUGUGUAUGAGGAGAUGGAGGAGGCCCCCACCACCAUGCAUCUCACACUGAGGACAUUUCGUGCUUUUUACAACAAGACAAGACAAAGGAAUCUAGUGUUCUACAUUAAACUGCAGGUAAACAGUGAACUGACUGUUUCUGAGUUCACAUGGAAACAGACCCAAAAUGAUGAAAGGUGCAGUCAGCAAGUCAUUUCAGAAGGAAUUAUGGGAGAGCAAGUUCAUGGAGGAGUGAUGCACAUGGAGAUGAAUUGUGGAAGAAGAGCAGUGCUGUGUCAGUAGCAGCCGAGCGAGUAGCACUGGUUACUAGUUCAGAGUGGAGUUGGCUGAUCCCAUGGUCGCCCCCCCCCCUGAAGCAGCAGUAGGAUGUUCUGAUGUCUGUCACUGUGGUGUGUUCCUGCUGAUUUAGAGAUCGACCCCUGAACUGAGCUCCAUCCACCCUGAAUACUUGGUGUGAAUGUCCAGAAGUGGCUCCUACAAAGGACACGAGCACACAGUGCCUAUAGACGCGGAGCGUCUGAGUGUUGCUUUCCAAAAGCAGAGGAGUGACCUAUUUAAAAGGUUACUUUCUUGGCCCCAUGGGUGGAUUAGGAAAACAAAGCACGAGCACUAUAUUUAUCUUUUUCCUUAUCUAAUGCUGCAGCCUCAUCAUGAUAAGAACUGUGUGCAUCUCCCCGCCCCUGGAUUAGAGCACUGUCCUCAGACUACUGCAGCCAUGAAUAAUAACUCGCCAGCCUCUAUCUCACUGUGCGACUGGCCAGUGGCAAUGCUGCGAUUUCAUGCACUGGAUACAGCCAUUAGGAUGUUGUUACAAUAAACUUUAUAAUGGCAGUCAUGUGGACGCAGAACAUGGAAGUGGAGUUUCCCGCUGUGAGGUUUUAAUUCAAAGCUGGGGACACGAGAAAGGAGUCAGCGUAGAUUAUUUGACAUUUUACACAUAUGUGCCGAAUUAUGGUUUAGAAAUGAGUUUUUGUUCGCGAGAAGCCACUGUAACAGAUACUGGUCUAAACUCACAUAAUGGCAUGUAUGCAUGUAUGUUAACGAAACAAAAUAAUGACUAAUACAACACAGCAACUCAAAUGGGUUGAUUCAACACUUACAGCUACUCGAUGCAGCAGAACGAGGGUCUAGUACAUAUACUGUAAUACCACUAGACUAUUCAUGCCUCACAUGCAGUAUUUUACUGUUGCACCGCUAUGUGUGGAGCUUAUUUAGUUACAUGCAACCACACUUGAUGAAUAUCGUCAUUAAUUGAUUCAUUUCUUAAAAAUCAACAAAUAAUAAACAAAAGUAAAUGGGUGAAAAUGACAGCCAAACCGAUAAUGAGUAAUAAUAUAUCAAGCAUUAAAUGGGUAAAGGUGCAGAUUAGUGUAGGUACAGUAUGUGCUUGGAUGUAUGCUAUGAAUAAUAUCAAUAUUAUUAACAGUACUCUGAAAAGUGUAUUUAUAUGUAAUGACCGGAGCCUCUACCUGCUGUAAACUUGUCAUGAUGGUUUCUCUCCAAAGAAACAAACUGUUCCUUCAGUUUGUGUUUCAGGUCAAAAUCUCUAUUAGCAGGGGUGAGGUUCACUCGCUCUCCAAAACAAAGUCAUCCGUGUCUGUGUGGGAGUCGGAGCAGAGCCGAGUCCCACUCUGUGGUACUCGAGGUCUUGUUUCCAGUUUCAGAGGGAAACGGUAACCAUAACAACAGCUGGUGGAGGCGGAUGGUCGCCCCCCCUGAGACUGUUGGAGGUUUCCUCUUCCUUAACAAGUAUAGGCUUUGAAAUGGGAGGAACUCCCCCUGUGGUUCUCUGGUUCACCUUCGCUUCCUCCGGGGGUCUGAUGAGGUGGCAACACACCACUGAUCCAGGGAGUUGGUGAGGACCCAGAAAGGCAGUAUCCGCUGUCAGUGUGUAUUAAAGACACGCCGUCCUGCUGUGGAAGGCCUCGCUGCAGGGCAGUGAGCUGGAUGUGACGAAAGCAAUGAAAACAAACUACAGACAGAGGAAAUAAUAAAGGCCAUCACUUAACUGUUUUAGCAGAGAUGACAUCCUCCAGGACCAGCAACACUGACCACAGGCUAGAACAUCUGGAUCACAGCAACAGCACUAGUGACCGUGAUCAGCUGCCAGAGUGGAUCCCUGCUCGGUGUAAAAGCAGACGAGUGCUGAGAGGUGAGGUGACCUGCAGCUGCUGGACAGGACAUGGAGACGGUAGUUACCUCAGUCUCAGUGUUUAGCAGCAGUGUUGAAACCAAGCACUGACUGACUGCAGGUAGAGGCUGAUAGACUUUAUACCUUAGUAGAAUGUUGAUCAGUGCUGGAUGUGGAACUUAUAGUUGUAUUACUCCUGCACUGUAGCAAUAGACAGCAAAAGCUGCAAACUUAAGAAAGUCCAGAUAUGAAUGUUUUAUGGCAUGAUGUAAUGCGACACACAAAGGUAACCGGACACUAGACAAAGAAAAGCUCCUUCCUCCACACUGCCUCCUCACAACACACCAAAGUUCAAGCAAAGAUUGGUAUAACACAUAGUCCUAUAUCACCCAAACAGGAAAACAAAAGUUAGAUUAGAUUUUGUAGCAGCUCAUGGUGCUGCUCACUGCUCUGGUUCCAGGAUGCUCUGUGUAUCGUAGCCCCAAUCCACCUAAAAUCCUAAAGAAAUAUUAAACCGCUUUUUGGUUUUGGCUCCAACAUUUAGUUAACAGAGAACCCGUUUGCUGCUGCAGAACAAAGUUGGUUCCGGUGUCGUCCCGCUGUGAGCCCAUAUGGGCACUGGGCUUGGCGCUCACAGCUCUAUGUCAGCAGACAGGACGAGAUGAAACCCAAUGAGCCGACUGUUUGUUCUGGGCCCGUGUCAGGCUGUCUGGCGUUUUGUGUGGAGUGAAGACGCCGGCCGGCCGCCCCCGGCUCGCCGCCUCUCCGCCUCAAUAGAUUGAUGUCAGCUCAGGUAAGAGCUGGAACGCUCCAGUGGAAAAUGAAACAGGAGGAGACAGCCAGGCUAUUACAGUAGAUUGGCCGUGUCUUUGCGUCUGCAUAAAAGAGAAGGAGAGACGGUGCACGUGGGAGGAUGUGAGUGGGCGCUCACAGCCUGUGCCAACGGUGCACCCACGUUGCAUGAGCUUUCCAAGGUCACUGAUUUCCAGUGUGCUUGAGCUCAGAUCUCACUCUGAUGCCCUGAAAAUGUUUUCCAGUUGAAAGUUCAGUUAUGUCUUGCACAUUUUCAAUAGAAGGUUUGUGAUACACUGCUGGAUUUUACAUGUCUACGGAGGCUUUGGACGCUGGAGGCCCUUGUUCCUGGAGGACUGCUGCCUCCUUCACAUGCCACAACUCCACUUUUUUCCCUGCAGCUGAGAUUGAUCUCCAUGAUCUUCUUGCUCUGCUCGUCCACCAUCACCGUGUCUGUUGGUCUGGUUGUCGGUGUGAAUCUGGAAGUUCCACCGAAUCGUCCAGUGUUUCCCAUUGUGACCUUGGACCUGGCCCAUUCUGGGUUCCCGUGGACCAUGCCGCGUUCUGCUCCCUGCUGUUAGGGGUCCUCUUCCGUCACUCAGCUCGUUGCCCAGGGACCGGUUCCACAAUCUGUGUGUCUGUCUCGUGUCUUUCUCUGAAAUCAGUUUUCCAGAUAGAGUCUGUGGUGCGGGAACAGUUCAGGUUUCAGUCCUGCUGGCAGAUUUCCACUGCAACAAUGCAGACACAGAGCAGCUCUUAAUAAUUGAGCAGAGCUGGGCCCGGCUGCUCAGCCACGACCCACAGGAUGUUACAACCCAACCUGCAGAGAGGCGAUCUUCAUCCAUCCAUCUUUUAUCUGCUUCGAUUUUACCAGUACAUCAACUUCCACGUCCACCUCCUGUCUGAACUCGUCUUUGGUGCCACGUUGCUUUGACCUCCUCCUCUCUCCAUCUCCUUUGUCUCAGCCUUCCUCAAAUAGCAGAGCUCUCAGUGUUUGGCAGUCUAGCUCUUCCAGCCAGUUCUUUUUGAUUCCUUUUUGUUUCUGUGAUGCUUGUUCUUCCUCUGGAUCUCCCUGUGCAUCCUCCCACACUAACCCAACAUGCACUCUGCCCCAGGCUACCUCCCUGUGUCUCCAUACGUACACCAACUCCUGACUUUCAUCACACACGCUUACUGUACUGUAGUGUGCAGUGUUCAGUAUGAUUCAUACAAAAGCAUCUUAUGAAACAGUGUAGGAAUUAGUGUCAGGAAAAUCAACAGGAUUUGCAUCCAGUGAAGAUGCUGAGUGGAGCAGAAAUGAGCCUCAAUCUAAGGUUUCUGUGAAAUGUUCUGAGUUGGAUAAAAAUGAUGGAUGAUAGCGUUUGAGGUGUGGACUUGAUGCACAGAGCUCUUUAGGUGUGUUUAGCUGUGACAGUGACAGGAAGCAUGCUGUGGCUGAAUACUUCACGUUACCUUAUACUCAUAAAUAUACCUGGGCUAGUUGAAGAUAACAUGGAUGAACGGCAUGUGGCCGACCCAGCGAUGGGCUCAGUGGGACGGCCGUGGAGCUCCUUUGAGCUUCUCAGAGUACCUGCUGCGAAGUGGAGUGGAUGCUGCGUCCGGACACCAGGACCAGCUCUGUGUUUCAGUUUACUUUCUGUACUUCCUUCUUGUAUUGUUAUCUCUCUCCUCAUUUGCUCCCGCUUCCUCCCCCCCAUGACAAAACGUUUGUUACAGCCCAGACUGUAUGUUUCUCUCAGUCACUUGUGAGGCGCCAUGUGGCCCCUCUGUGGUUGCUGAGGAUCGCUGUGUUCCAACACUCGGAGCUGCUUAGCAGAGGUCACAUCUACGCGUGCUGCUGGUGUCCACCACAGUUCACUCAGCUCUUCUGCACCCGGAAGCAAAGGGAAAAUGUUCCAGCCUCGGAGGCAGCAGCAACAGCAUUCAUGGAAAGAAAUGAUUCAAAUGACUCUUGUUGAAUUCUGUUUUAUGUAUAGACAUAAAGACUUUACAAUGUCCUUUACUUUUUCACUACAGGCGUCUUAUUGGAUUAAAAGCUGAGCUGCUUCUACAGAAUGUGCAGUUACUUCUAACGCAGCUAAAAUUAAGUGACACUCAGUCAGACUUUCAGUUUGUUCAGUGACAAACAAACAGCAGAGUCAUAGCUUUCAGAGUUUAUUGAAACUAACGUGAUGCGACAUAACCUUGCAUAGGUUACAGACGAGGCCUCACCAGCAGAAGACACAAGAACUCUGAACUGAAAGAAGGAACGAGCUGCAGCGUGAGUGUCAGGAUACAGAAAGAUCUCAGCCCCGUGGAUCUUUAUUGUUUUAUUGUGUUUCCAGCACAUGGAAGGUCAUCAGCAUCAGCAGCUGAUAACUUAGCAUUAUAAAAUAAAGAAAAUACAGAAUGGACACAAAUAAUUAUGUUUGGAUGAGCAAACCAGCUUUGGAUUCUGCAGCACAUAAUGCUGCUUUUUGUUCAAUUCGUCCUCCCGUUCUCCUUCACCUCUUUCAGACUUUACCCUCAUUGUCAUCAUCAUCAUCAUCAUCAUCAUCAUCAUCACAUUCAUUCACUUUAACUGACGCCAGCUGAUGCAGAGCUUAUACAAAUGUGGACAUAUUCAGUAAACAUGUCUUUGUGGCGCUGCCCUCUCUCACACUGAGCAGGGAGGAGGCAAAAACUAACCACUGCACCAAACUGAAUGAACUCAACCCACGGUUGUAAAUCACUGAUUAUUGGUUAACAGUUGUUUUUUUGAUUCCCUUCUCAUUUUUCUUCAAAGCAAAGGGCAAACUGGAGCGUUUGAAUGCCUUUCUUUCCAAAUGACGAUGUCUGUAGGUUAGUAACAAGGUAAGAAGCAGUUCAUCCAUUAUCAUCAGUUGGUGAGUUAGUGUUUCUGUUUCUGCCCCUAGUGGCCAAAGGUCUGUUACUGUAGCUUUGAGUGAAAACCUAAAGUAUCUCCUGUGACGAUGAACUCUGCUGUCAUCACUCACGCCGGCAGUUCAAUAGUGUGAAGGUUUGUCAAUCCUAGAUCCACUGAUCGUCAGUAUGUUAGCGUUGACCAGUUUGGGCUCGGCAGUUGUGAGCUUGUAAACAAAAUCAUAAUUACUGCAUUUGUUGAUUUUUUUAUCUGUAUGUUGUUUAUCUGUUCAGCUGCUCUGGUGACAUGAAACUAGAAAACAUUUGGUCCCUUCAGUGGUGUGACUCUACACAGAACACACAAUCAGACAGAAAGCCAGUCCACCACAACAGCCCUGAAGCUGCUCAUGCUCCCUCGCUCCUACAGCUGUUGAGAAAGGACAGAACUGAUUUGGGGAUUUUAUUCUUUGUAAUUUUGCUCUCCAGGAUCUACUGCAUGUUUGACUCAUAGCACCUUUCGUAGCAUUUUUCAUUUUUUGUCAGACUGAAGGGAUAAUUAAAGGGAUUGUUUUUGUCUUUGCAGCAGUUUGUGAAAGGGGCCUUCACUGGAUGCUGACACACAGCUGCUCCACACGCAGCCCUCAGAGACGUGCAGGUACCAUGAAACACAGCCGAUGCUUUUAUGACCGGAUUUUAUAGUUUAAACCGUGUUCUACAUCAUUUACUAUAUGUGCACAAAUAAUGUAAAAACACUAUGCAGCACGCUGAGUCACGCUCUCAAACGAACAUUUCCGUAAAUAAGAAUCAUAAACAGAAAAACACAUUUGGGAACGUGCAAACAAUCUGAAUUUUCUUGGUGGAUCAGUGGCCGCUCUAGGACCGGGUGCACCGAGCAACUCUCCAACGUGAAGAGGAGACGUUGGAGAGGAAAAGCUUGGUGUAACUGGACUUUUGACUUCUGUUGUUUGCUGCAGACUGUUAUGUAACAGCAACCACUGACUCAGACGAGGCUCUGCUGUUCCAGACUCAGUCCUUUUCUAAGAUUUAGCAUCUGUUCUCCAACAAGGACACACUCAUGUAUAUGAGUAAAUCCUGCUGAUGCUGAAGCUCAACCAAGCAAACACAGCUGCUCAACACAACACAGUGGCUCCUCAUUAACCUUUGCGCUGACUUUCAUUUCUCCACACUGAUCUGAAGCCUUAGUUUCUGAUCGUCAGCUUGCUGUGAUGGUAAAAAGGCCAAACAACAGCACACCCUGCUCCUAAACUAUGUGACAGGACUUUUUGUGGCAGACCUGCUCCCAUCAAGACUGUCCCAACGCUCAACGUGUCUUUGGUUAAAUAGAAUUAAA